rnacentral:rRNA from 1 species
UACGAAGGGGGCUAGCGUUGUUCGGAAUUACUGGGCGUAAAGCGUGCGCAGGCGGCUUCUCAAGUCAGGGGUGAAAGCCCAGAGCUCAACUCUGGAAUUGCCUUUGAGACUGAGUGGCUUGAGUACGAGAGAGGUGAGUGGAAUUCCCAGUGUAGAGGUGAAAUUCGUAGAUAUUGGGAAGAACACCGGUGGCGAAGGCGGCUCUCUGGAACGCAACUGACGCUGAGACGCGAAAGCGUGGGGAGCAAACAGG